CUAAUGAAAAAAAGGACAACAUCAAUAGGGAAUUGAGUGUGACCUCAAUCUCCUAUAUAGUCCACAAAUGGAAACCUAUAAUAUUGGUACAAAUAAGAAAAUCCCUAUGUAAGCCUGUGGUUGCUUCCUGAUUACAUUAAACUCUUCUUUCUGUAUAUACACAAUAUAUUUGAACAUUAUUGAUGACCCACAUACUAUUAACAGCACUGACAUACACUUGAUGUCACAUUGAUGAAUAUCGGCAAUUGGACAUGUACACAAUGAGCUGUUUAUCGACUGUUUGUGACUUUUUUGCUAUGCUCAAUUGAUAUGUCUUUUGUUAUCCACUGUACUGAUUGCCAAUCUAAAUAAAGAAUUUAAAAAAA